rnacentral:rRNA from 1 species
AAUAGAUACCCGGGUAGUCCACGCCGUAAACGAUGGAUACUAGCUGUUUGACCGCAAGGUUGAGUGGCUAAGCGAAAGUGAUAAGUAUCCCACCUGGGGAGUACGAACGCAAGUUUGAAACUCAAAGGAAUUGACGGGGGCCCGCACAAGCGGUGGAGCAUGUGGUUUAAUUCGAUGAUACGCGAGGAACCUUACCAGGGCUUAAAUGUAGUUUGACGUAUUUGGAAACAGAUAUUUCUUCGGACAAAUUACAAGGUGCUGCAUGGUUGUCGUCAGCUCGUGCCGUGAGGUGUCAGGUUAAGUCCUAUAACGAGCGCAACCCCUGUUGUUAGUUGCCAGCGAGUAAUGUCGGGAACUCUAACAAGACUGCCAGUGUAAACUGCGAGGAAGGUGGGGAUGACGUCAAAUCAUCACGGCCCUUACGUCCUGGGCCACACACGUGCUACAAUGGACGGUACAGAGAGCAGCCACUUAGCAAUAAGGAGCGAAUCUAUAAAACCGUUCUCAGUUCGGAUCGGAGUCUGCAACCCGACU